GAGGAAUAUUGGGCAAUGCCCGCAAGGGUGACCCAGCAACGCCGCGUGGAGGAUGAAUGUCGUAAGAUUGUAAACUCCUGUUAGAGGGGAAGAAUAGUACCGGUUGGACCGGUAUAUGACUGUACCCUCAGAGAAAGCCCCGGCUAACUACGUGCCAGCAGCCGCGGUAAUACGUAGGGGGCAAGCGUUGUCCGGAUUUACUGGGUGUAAAGGGCGCGCAGGCGGGAUAAAAAGUCAGUGGUGAAAUCCUACAGCUUAACUGUAGAACUGCCUUUGAUACUUUUAUUCUUGAGUUCGGGAGAGAGAGACGGAAUUCCAGGUUUAGUGGUGAAAUACGUCGAUAUCUGGAAGAACACCAGUUGCGAAGGCGGUCUCUUGGUCCGACACUGACGCUGAGGCGCGAAAGCGUGGGGAGCAAACA
rnacentral:rRNA from 1 species